AAAUGAAAUGGCAAAGCCUCGAAGUUUGUCAAAAGUGUCUUAGGUUUUACCAACUACACUUGCGUAACGAAUUUUCGAAUCAAGCUUGGCCUUAAAACAGCCUUUUUAAGUUUGACCUCAAAUCAGGCAAGACUACCCGCUGAACUUAAGCAUAUCAAUAAGCGGAGGAAAAGAAACCAACAGGGAUUGCCUUAGUAACGGCGAGCGAAGCGGCAAUAGCUCAAAUUUGAAAUCUGGCGUCUUUGGCGUCCGAGUUGUAAUUUCAAGAAGUGUCUUCUGGUUUGGCCCUUGCAUAUGUUCCUUGGAACAGGACGUCAUAGAGGGUGAGAAUCCCGUAUAUGGUGAGGUGCCCAUUCCUUUGUAAGACGCUCUCUAAGAGUCGAGUUGUUUGGGAAUGCAGCUCUAAGUGGGUGGUAAAUUCCAUCUAAAGCUAAAUAUUGGCGAGAGACCGAUAGCGAACAAGUACUGUGAAGGAAAGAUGAAAAGAACUUUGAAAAGAGAGUGAAAAAGUACGUGAAAUUGCUGAAAGGGAAGGGCUUGAGAUCAGACUUGGUAUUCAGUGAUCAGCUGUCUUUCGGGACUGUGCACUCGCUGUUUACUGGGCCAACAUCAGUUUGGAUGGCGAGAUAAUGGCAAUUGAAUGUGGCUCCUUCUUCGGUUGGAGUGUUAUAGCUUUUGUUGAUAUCGCCUAUCUGGAUUGAGGACCGCGCUUCGGCUAGGA
rnacentral:rRNA from 1 species